CCUACGGAGGCAGCAGUAGGGAAUAUUGGACAAUGGGCGCAAGCCUGAUCCAGCCAUGCCGCGUGAGUGAAGAAGGCCCUCGGGUUGUAAAGCUCUUUUGUCCGGAAAGAAAAGCGCCGGGUUAAUACCCUGGUGUCCUGACGGUACCGGAAGAAUAAGCACCGGCUAACUUCGUGCCAGCAGCCGCGGUAAUA
rnacentral:rRNA from 1 species